GGCCCGUUCGUCUAUCGGUUAGGACGCUAGCUUUUCAAGCUGGAAAGAUGGGUUCGACUCCCAUACGGGCUA
rnacentral:tRNA from 1 species